GUGCAAAGAAAUGAAAUGGUGUUUAGGUUCUGCCAACCCCUAUGAAAAGCAGCCAGCGGGGAUGAUGAGAGUCCUAUGCGAGCAGAACUGUCUUUUCAAUAGAACUAAGAAACGUGUCCAUUAACACAGAGGGCAGGCUGCCGUUGAAAAGAGCAGGCCAAGGACAGCGUCACAGUUCUGUUCAGUAGGGCUAACAUAGCCCACCUUGGAGUACUAGUUGAGAAUUUGACUUGCUAGAACUGGAACCCUCAAUGCCGCAAGGUGGAGCAGCGGCAGAACAGAAAACCUCAGGAAGAAGUUUGUCUUUGGGGGAUCACCAGUGCAGGUGUAUGCAGGAAGGCUGGAUGUUGUCAUCUACAUCUCGAACAUGUCCUUGGUCAUCCUGAAAGAGAGAGAGAUGCUAUAGAUGUGGAAUCAAUCUCUUUUCCCUGCGAGUUUAACAGACUUUUGGAACAAUCUCAUUUCAAUGCCCCUUCUUUCUAUAAUGGAGUCCAGGCUGAGCUGGUUGCUCUGUAAAAGCUUUUUCAACAUAUGAAUUAAGGAUUUAUCUCAACUGAAUAUUCAGUCCAAUUAAAACCAGUGUCUUCUGCUAAA